GCCCUUUUCCGGUUGAUCCUGCCGGAGGCUAUUGCUAUUGGAAUUCGAUUUAGCCAUGCUAGUCGCACGGGUCAGACCCGUGGCGAAAAGCUCAGUAACACGUGGCCAAACUACCCUGUGGACGAGGACACUCUCGGGAAACUGAGGCUAAUCCUUGAUAGGACUUCCAUCCUGGAAUGGAAGAAGUCUGAAACGUUCAGGCGCCACAGGAUGUGGCUGCGGCCGAUUAGGUAGACGGUGGGGUAACGGCCCACCGUGCCAGUAAUCGGUACGGGUGAUGAAAGUCAGAGCCCGGAGACGGUAUCUGAGACAAGAUACCGGGCCCUACGGGGCGCAGCAGGCGCGAGACCUUUACACUGCACGACAGUGCGAUAGGGGAAUUCCAAGUGCGAGGGCAUACAGUCCUCGCUUUUCUUGACCGUAAGAAGGUCAAAGAAUAAGGGCUGGGCAAGACCGGUGCCAGCCGCCGCGGUAAUACCGGCAGCCCGAGUGAUGGCCAAUAUUAUUGGGCCUAAAGCGUUCGUAGCCGGCCGGACAAGUCUGUUGGGAAAUCCACGUGCUUAACGCGUGGGCGUCCAGCGGAAACUGUCCGGCUUGGGGCCGGAGGACUC
rnacentral:rRNA from 1 species